rnacentral:rRNA from 1 species
AUGGAGACCUGUAUGAAUGGCAUUACGAGGGCUUAACUGUCUCCUUUUUCAAGUCAGUGAAAUUGAUCUCCCCGUGCAGAAGCGGGGAUACACCCAUAAGACGAGAAGACCCUAUGGAGCUUUAGACACCAAGGCAUAUCAUGUUAAACACCCCUAAAUAAAGGACCAAACCAAAUGAAUUAUGCCCCCAUGUC